UUUUAUCACGGUUAUCGUAAGGAAAACUAGUUACGCUUUGAUCGAUCAUACAGGAUAAUAUUUCAAGAAACUUUUCCAACACAACAAAAACAUGUCUUUAUCCAAAGAACAAACAGAGGAAGUGGAGCGCUGCAUGCUUGAGUUGAAAACAAUUGACCGUGAGGUAUGUGAAGAGAUGGAAAGAUCUACAGACAAACGAAAUGAAGUAAGGAACUUCAUGUCAGAAGUUAUAGCAGCAGAGGAGAAGUUUAUUUCUACAUUUGAUAAAACUGAAGAGGGAAAAAACGCUUUCAAAGAGAGUGUCAAAACCAUGGUUGAAGCUCUUGACUUUGAAACAUUCCGUGUAGAAAUAGUAGGGCAUCAAACCAAAAAGGGACGUGUAACUUUUAUGAGGGACGGAACACCAUUUCUGCCAGAAAUACAACUUCUUACAAUUCAGGACACGGAAAACGCUACGUCUAAACAGGCUGCAAGCAUUGUGAUUGAGAUUGCUGUCGUAUUGCUGUUGUUGGCUAAAGUUAAAGAUCCUUUGUCUAAAGAGCGAUUGAAAAAGGCGAUUGAAGAAUUAGAACCCUCUAUGGGUAAGAUUAAGGAUGCUUUGCGUAAUCUAGCUUUUACAUGGAAGCAUAAUUCAGAUAUGAAAGCACGUGCAGCGGCAUUGCUUACUUUCGUAAAACAGAUUUACCAUGACGGAAUUCUAGUGAAAUGCAUCAAAAUCAUUAUCAGCAACAUGGGCUGGUAUAAACGAGCUAAAGUUCUGGGGCAUAUAAUCUUGUUUAUUAAAUCAACAUGUCGUCACCCAAAGAGUCUUCUUCAGAGAAUUGAAGCAGUGCUAAAAGAAAAAGCUGCAGAAAAGCUCACAGAGAAGAUCGCAAACCUAAUCAAAAUAAGCGAAUGUCAGGAAAUCCUUGAUUUGAAUUACAUUUUAUAACUAUUAUAUUACUGAAUGAGCUUAUAUUUAGCUUCUUUGAACUUAUUCAUAACUGUCAUAUCUUUCUGUCUUGUCUUAUUUUUAUGCUUUAAUUAGGAUUCAUGUCAUUGUUUAGUCUGACGAUGUUAUUGUCAUUAAGAAACUCAAUUAGACAAUCAAUAUUCUCAUUUACGUUGCUUUACAUUUUAACAAGCCUGUUAUUGUUUGCUCUGGUAUUGGUUUUGUUGUACUUAAAUUGGUCUGUAGCAUUAAAAGUUCUCUUUCUCAUUGACAAUUUUA